GGCGGCGUAGCCAAGCGGCCAAAGGCGACGGUUUGCAAAACCGUUAUCCGUGGGUUCGAAUCCCACCGCCGCCU
rfam:Planctomycetes bacterium RBG_13_62_9 RBG_13_scaffold_28378, whole genome shotgun sequence.